UGAAGUGAAAUGGAAUUUCCCAAAAUAAAGGGAGAUGGAAAACUUUACAGCAAACUGGCAACUGUCCACAAAUGGAGAGCUCAGAGCUCGGAAUUGCUCCUCCUUUCAUUCCGGAAAUUAAAAUAUGAACCGCAUUCUGGGGGGCGAGAAAGAGGGAGAUGUCCAUUUCCAAAAAAAAAAAAAUUCCCACACAAUGUCUCUGGCAGCGGCAGGCGGAAGUGGCGGAAGUUCUGCGGGCCAAAGGCAAGCUCACAAAUUUGGCCAACAAAUUGAUUGAUUGAUCAGCUGCAAUCAGAAUCAACUGAUUCUCUUGUCAUCAGCUCCAGAUUUCCGUUCAAUUAGCAGGCGAAUUCCCUUCCUAAUGAGCUGGGGUAGCUCCUCUCGCUCUCUUUGGGGCUUGUGUCAAAAAUAAAUUAAUCGAAAUUUGCAUAAAUUUUACAAGAAGCAGCAGACAUUGUCGCGUCGUCUGCCCCAAUACUCCUCCAAACACUCUAAAUGAUUGCGUGCCCGAAACUUAAUUAUAAAAGCCAACAGAAAAUGCCAGGCGGAGCCAUGAAAAUUGCGUUGAACUGGAAUAAAAACGAACACUUGGCAUCGUCA